GAUGAACGCUGGCGGCGUGCCUAAUACAUGCAAGUCGAGCGAACGGACGAGAAGCUUGCUUUUCUGAUGUUAGCGGCGGACGGGUGAGUAAAACGUGGAUAACCUACCUAUAAGACUGGGAUAACUUCGGGAAACCGGAGCUAAUACCGGAUAAUAUUUUGAACCGCAUGGUUCAAAAGUGAAAGACGGUCUUGCUUUCACUUAUAGAUGGAUCCGCGCUGCAUUAGCUAGUUGGUAAGGUAACGGCUUACCAAGGCAACGAUGCAUAGCCGACCUGAGAGGGUGAUCGGCCACACUGGAACUGAGACACGGUCCAGACUCCUACGGGAGGCAGCAGUAGGGAAUCUUCCGCAAAGGGCGAAAGCCUGACGGAGCAACGCCGCGUGAGUGAUGAAGGUCUUCGGAUCGUAAAACUCUGUUAUUAGGGAAGAACAUAUGUGUAAGUAACUGUGCACAUCUUGACGGUACCUAAUCAGAAAGCCACGGCUAACUACGUG
rnacentral:rRNA from 1 species